rnacentral:pre_miRNA from 1 species
AGUGGGACCGCUGGGUUAUAUGGUGGUUCCAUCUCUAGAUUUUGAGGAAUUUCCAUACUGCUUUCCAGAGUGGUCGUACUGGUCUUCAGUCCUACCAGCAGU